rnacentral:rRNA from 1 species
GUACGGGGGGGGGCAAGCGUUGUUCGGAAUUACUGGGCGUAAAGGGCUCGUAGGCGGCCAACUAAGUCAGACGUGAAAUCCCUCGGCUUAACCGGGGAACUGCGUCUGAUACUGGAUGGCUUGAGAUUGGGGAGAGGGAUGCGGAAUUCCAGGUGUAGCGGUGAAAUGCGUAGAUAUCUGGAGGAACACCGGUGGCGAAGGCGGCAUCCUGGACCAACACUGACGCUGAGGAGCGAAAGCCAGGGGAGCAAACGGG